rnacentral:rRNA from 1 species
GGUGUCGAGUGCAUGGGCAUAAGCCCGCCUAACUGUGAGACCAACAAGUCGAGCAGAUGCGAAAGCAGGCCCAAGUGAUCCGGCGGUAGAAAGUGGAAUUGCCGUCGCUCAACGGAUAAAAGGUACCUUAGGGAUAACAGGCUGAUCACGCCCAAGAGUUCAUAUCGACGGCGUGGUUUGGCACCUCGAUGUCGGCUCGUCGCAUCCUGGGGCUGGAGAAGGUCCCAAGGG